GACAGAGGGUGCAAACGUUGCUCGGAAUCACUGGGCGUAAAGGGCGUGUAGGCGGGAAGGAAAGUCAGAUGUGAAAGCCCUGGGCUCAACCCAGGAACUGCAUUUGAAACUCCCUUUCUUGAGUGUCGGAGAGGAAAGCGGAAUUCCAGGUGUAGCGGUGAAAUGCGUAGAUAUCUGGAGGAAUACCGGUGGCGAAGGCGGCAUCCUGGACCGACAUUGACGCUGAGGAGCGAAAGCUAGGGGAGCAAACGGG
rnacentral:rRNA from 1 species